GACGUAGGGCGCGAGCGUUGUCCGGAUUUAUUGGGCGUAAAGAGCUCGUAGGCGGCUUGUCGCGUCGACUGUGAAAUCCCGCGGCUCAACUGCGGGUCUGCAGUCGAUACGGGCAGGCUAGGAGUUCGGUAGGGGAGACUGGAAUUCCUGGAUGUAGCGGUGAAAUGCGCAGAUAUCAGGAGGAACACCGGUGGCGAAGGCGGGUCUCUGGGCCG
rnacentral:rRNA from 1 species